rnacentral:snoRNA from 1 species
UCUCUGUGAUGUCUCAAUAGAUCCUUCACUGUGUGCUCAAUAGAAUAGAAGGCAAGUGAAGAAACCUAUGGCUGAGAGA